AAGGUUUUAAGUUAAUUAAACUAAUAGCCUUCAAAGCUAUAAAUAAGGAUUAUUCUUCUUUAAGCCUUA
rnacentral:tRNA from 1 species